GAGCUGAGUGGCAGAGCAUCUGCUCAUAUUAUUCAGAAGGUCCCAGGUUCAGUCCCUGGCAUCUCCA